UAUAGCUUUCACUCAAACCCUAAUCACUACAAUUAAAAUAAUCUAAUCUUUUAUAUAUCUUAUUUUUAUUAGAAAACUCUAAUCAAUAUAUUGUAACCAUAUUCUCUCAAUUAUGGCAUCCACCCAAACUGAUGAAAAUCAAAAUAAAGAAUUGAACGUAAGUAUCAUCUCUUCUUUUAUUCAUUCAUUAGCUAGUGUAAUUCAUUGAGUAUUUCAUGGCAUCGUUUUUUUUUUUUUUUUGUAUUCUUUUGAGUUUUUGAUUGAAUACAUGUUCGAUUUGUUUCCUCUGUCAGACGAGAUGAUAUAUUAUAUUUUU
rnacentral:sRNA from 1 species